GACGAACUGUCCUAACGUUGUUCGGAAUCACUGGGCUUAAAGGGUGCGUAGGCGGCGCGGUAAGUCGGGUGUGAAAUCUCGGAGCUUAACUCCGAAACUGCAUUCGAUACUGCCGUGCUUGAGGACUGGAGAGGAGACUGGAAUUUACGGUGUAGCGGUGAAAUGCGUAGAUAUCGUAAGGAAGACCAGUGGCGAAGGCGGGUCUCUGGACAGUUCCUGACGCUGAGGCACGAAGGUCAGGGGAGCAAACGGG
rnacentral:rRNA from 1 species